UACGUAGGGUGCAAGCGUUGUCCGGAUUUAUUGGGCGUAAAGAGCUCGUAGGCGGUUUGUCGCGUCGGGAGUGAAAGACCGGGGCUUAACCCCGGUUCUGCUUCCGGUACGGGCAUGCUGGAGUGUGGCAGGGGAGACUGGAAUUCCUGGUGUAGCGGUGGAAUGCGCAGAUAUCAGGAGGAACACCGGUGGCGAAGGCGGGUCUCUGGGCCAUUACUGACGCUGAGGAGCGAAAGCGUGGGGAGCGAACAGG
rnacentral:rRNA from 1 species